GACGAACGCUGGCGGCGUGCUUAACACAUGCAAGUCGAACGAAGAGCGACGGAAGCUUGCUUCUAUCAAUCUUAGUGGCGAACGGGUGAGUAACGCGUAAUCAACCUGCCCUUCAGAGGGGGACAACAGUUGGAAACGACUGCUAAUACCGCAUACGAUCUAACCUCGGCAUCGAGGAUAGAUGAAAGGUGGCCUCUACAUGUAAGCUAUCACUUAAGGAGGGGAUUGCGUCUGAUUAGCUAGUUGGAGGGGUAACGGCCCACCAAGGCGAUGAUCAGUAGCCGGUCUGAGAGGAUGAACGGCCACAUUGGGACUGAGACACGGCCCAGACUCCUACGGGAGGCAGCAGUGGGGAAUCUUCCGCAAUGGACGAAAGUCUGACGGAGCAACGCCGCGUGAGGGAUGACGGACGUCGGGUUGUAAAGCUCUGUUAAUCGGGACGAAAGGCCUUCUUGCGAAUAGUGAGAAGGAUUGACGGUACCGGAAUAGAAAGCCACGGCUAACUACGUG
rnacentral:rRNA from 1 species